rnacentral:rRNA from 1 species
UACGAGGGGGGCUAGCGUUGUUCGGAAUUACUGGGCGUAAAGCGUGCGCAGGCGGCUUCUCAAGUCAGGGGUGAAAGCCCAGAGCUCAACUCUGGAAUUGCCUUUGAGACUGAGUGGCUUGAGUACGAGAGAGGUGAGUGGAAUUCCCAGUGUAGAGGUGAAAUUCGUAGAUAUUGGGAAGAACACCGGUGGCGAAGGCGGCUCACUGGCUCGUAACUGACGCUCAUGCACGCAGCGUGGGGAUCAAACAGG